GGGUCAGUAGGUUGGUCGUGCCACCGGUACGUACUGGUCUCACUGAUUCCUCCUUCCUGAAGAACCGUAAUGCCAUUAAUUUGGUGUUGCGGGGAAACAGGACUGUUACUUUGAAAAAAUUAGAGUGUUUAAAGCAAGCUAACGCUUGAAUACAUUAGCAUGGAAUAAUGAAAUAGGUCGAUCGAUCCCAUUUUGUUGGUUUCUAGGAUUGACGUA
rnacentral:rRNA from 1 species